AUAUCACCAGUUCUCAUAUGAUCACUGAAGUUAAGCAACAUCAAGCCUGGUCAGUACCUAGAGGAGUGAGCACUUGGGAAUACCGGUUACUG